GAUGAACGCUGGCGGCGUGCCUAAUACAUGCAAGUCGAGCGAAUGGAUUAAGAGCUUGCUCUUAUGAAGUUAGCGGCGGACGGGUGAGUAACACGUGGGUAACCUGCCCAUAAGACUGGGAUAACUCCGGGAAACCGGGGCUAAUACCGGAUAAUAUUUUGAACUGCAUGGUUCAAAAUUGAAAGGCGGCUUCGGAUGUCACUUAUGGAUGGACCCGCGUCGCAUUAGCUAGUUGGCGAGGUAACGGCUCACCCAGGCAACGAUGCGUAGCCGAACUGAGAGGGUGAUCGGCCACGCGGGGACUGAGACACGGCCCAGACUCCUACGGGAGGCAGCAGUAGGGCAUCUUCCGCAAUGGACGAAAGUCUGACGGAGCAACGCCGCGUGAGUGAUGAAGGCUUUCGGGUCGUAAAACUCUGUUGUUAGGGAAGAACAAGUGCUAGUUGAAUAAGCUGGCACCUUGACGGUACCUAACCAGAAAGCCACGGCUAACUACGUGCCAGCAGCCGCCGUAA
rnacentral:rRNA from 1 species